CGGCGAGUGAGCGGCAAAAGCUCAAAUUUGAAAUCUGGUACCUUCGGUGCCCGAGUUGUAAUUUGGAGAGGGCAACUUUGGGGCCGUUCCUUGUCUAUGUUCCUUGGAACAGGACGUCAUAGAGGGUGAGAAUCCCGUGUGGCGAGGAGUGCGGUUCUUUGUAAAGUGCCUUCGAAGAGUCGAGUUGUUUGGGAAUGCAGCUCUAAGUGGGUGGUAAAUUCCAUCUAAAGCUAAAUAUUGGCGAGAGACCGAUAGCGAACAAGUACAGUGAUGGAAAGAUGAAAAGAACUUUGAAAAGAGAGUGAAAAAGUACGUGAAAUUGUUGAAAGGGAAGGGCAUUUGAUCAGACAUGGUGUUUUGUGCCCUCUGCUCCUUGUGGGUAGGGGAAUCUCGCAUUUCACUGGGCCAGCAUCAGUUUUGGUGGCAGGAUAAAUCCAUAGGAAUGUAGCUUGCCUCGGUAAGUAUUAUAGCCUGUGGGAAUACUGCCAGCUGGGACUGAGGACUGCGACGUAAGUCAAGGAUGCUGGCAUAAUGGUUAUAUGCCGCCCGUCUUGA
rnacentral:rRNA from 1 species